rnacentral:rRNA from 1 species
UACGAGGGGGGCGAGCGUUGUUCGGAAUUAUUGGGCGUAAAGGGUGCGUAGGCGGUUCCGCAAGUCCUGUGUGAAAUCUUCGGGCUCAACUCGAAGUCUGCACGGGAAACUGCGGGGCUUGAGUGUGGGAGAGGUGAGUGGAAUUCCCGGUGUAGCGGUGAAAUGCGUAGAUAUCGGUAGGAACACCAGUGGCGAAGGCGGCGCACUGGACCACAACUGACGCUGAGGCGCGAAAGCUAGGGGAGCAAACAGG